GGUAUAGCUCAGUGGCAGAGUGUGUGCUUAGCAUGCAUGAGGUCCUGGGUUCAUUCCCCAGUACC
rnacentral:tRNA from 1 species